rnacentral:rRNA from 1 species
UACAGAGGUCCCAAGCGUUGUUCGGAUUCACUGGGCGUAAAGGGCGCGUAGGCGGAUCUUUAAGUCGGGGGUGAAAGCCCAGGGCUCAACCCUGGAAUGGCCUUCGAUACUGGAGAUCUUGAGACCGGAAGAGGUAAGUGGAACUGCGAGUGUAGAGGUGAAAUUCGUAGAUAUUCGCAAGAACACCAGUGGCGAAGGCGGCUUACUGGUCCGGUUCUGACGCUGAGGCGCGAAAGCGUGGGGAGCAAACAGG